AUCCACAAAAGUGAAUUAGGAGGUGAUAUUUUGAAAUCGAAACUGAAACCUGUUCAGGCACCGCGGCCGUAGCGUCGCCACUAUCGCUGUUUACAGACAUGGCGUCGUGUUAUGCUGCGUGCGUAUCUCUGUGGUGAUGCAGUCGUCGUUCAGUGACUUUUUGUUUUACUAUCUCGUGAUGUCGCUUUUAUAUUGCGCUCAUUAACGAAGUAGGAACUUCUGGGCCGGAUAUGAUGCGUCAUACGGGAGGAACUAAUUCAACAGCAACCUACUGCAACACAACCUCAGUGAUCCCUUUGUUUGAUUUGCGGACGGACGUGAUUCGUAGUGUUGGAGGAUACCGUCUUCAAAUGCUUCCGCACAACAGUGAAAAGCAGUGCCGAAGUUCCUUCUCGACAACGUGCUCUGUGGCGAGGAGAAAUGCUUUGAAGUCCGGGCACAUCGGGAAGUCGGCACAUUGCCCCAAGAUCAACGGACGCCCGGCAAUCGGCAGCGCGGCACAUCGCCACAAGACGGACGGACGCGUGUUUUUCGUGCCAAAGAAAACCUGUUUUUUUUUCAGCCUCUUCCUCUGCAGAUGACGUUGGUGAUUAAUAUCUGUGAGCAGCACUGACCUAUGCCUGAGUGAAGAGACAUAUAAGUAGGUGCAGAUUGGUGUAGGCUUUGUGCUGCCUUAUAACAGUGGCAGUAUAUUUAAAGUGUACAUCAGAUGCCAAGUGUGCAAUAGAUGUGGGCCUGUGGACACCAGCAGAAGCUGGGGAAAGACGCCUGACUGGGCAGGCCUGCCGCACAGUUUGGAUUCAACCAGAAAGCUUGCGGCAACACCGGAGAAAGUGGCUGCUGUGAAGAGCGCAGAUUGGUGUGGGAUUUGUGAUGCCACUCAACAAGUGGCAUUACAUACUAAAGUGUACCACCGAAGCCAAGUGCGCAUUAGGUCUGGCACAGCACCUGUGGACACCAACGCAAGCUGGGGAAAGCCCGACUGGGCCGGCCAGCCGGACUAUCUCUGAUGCAUCUGGGAAGCUUCUGGCAACACCAGAGAAAGUGGCUGCUGUGAAGAACUGCCUGGAGAAGUACAUCGGGGAACAUCCGAUGGGGCCACCAGCACCACCUCCAGAGCACCACCUUGCUUCUGUAACGAAGCACCUUUGGAGCUUCUUCACAGAAGCGGGCGCGAGGGCAAGCGAGUAUGGAAGACGUGAAUCGCCUUAACCUAUUGCAUUUUUUCAAUAAAGUGUGAAGAUAUAGAACAUAUUAUGGUGCUAUACAUUGAUUCCUUAUGGCAUGAAAAUGUAGCGGCAUACUUGGCCACAUGUAGAUACAGACUGCACACUUUCCAAGACUCAAGAACGCAUGAAGAUAGCCCAUCAUGAGCUUCCUAAGUGCAAUGGCUGCUCCUUCGAUUCAUUACACAACUUGCAUUUGACCUGAUGUGCCCACUGUUAUACCCAGCAUUCCACCCAUCGCCCAGCAUUCCACCCAUCGCCCAGCAUUCCACCCAUCGCCCGGCAUUCCACCCAUCACCCGGCAUUCUACCCAUCACCCAGCAUUCCACCCAUCACCCAGCAUUCCACCCAUCACCCAGCAUUCCACCCAUCACCCAGCAUGCCCACUGCCCAGCAUGCCCAUUACCAUAAUCCACCGUGAUGAUGGAUGAUGGAUUCCAUCAUGCCCAGCAUCGGGCAAAUUUUCAA